rnacentral:rRNA from 1 species
UACAGAGGGGGCAAGCGUUGUUCGGAAUUACUGGGCGUAAAGGGCGCGUAGGCGGCCUUCUAAGUCGAACGUGAAAUCCCCGGGCUCAACCCGGGAACUGCGUCCGAUACUGGAAGGCUUGAACCCGGGAGAGGGAUGCGGAAUUCCAGGUGUAGCGGUGAAAUGCGUAGAUAUCUGGAGGAACACCGGUGGCGAAGGCGGCAUCCUGGACCGGCAUUGACGCUGAGGCGCGAAAGCCAGGGGAGCAAACGGG